GGAUAUAUAUAUAUAUAUAUAUAAGCGUUGGAUGGGCUGACUAUUUUGCCCCCACAAGGCCAGCAUCGAUUUCCUUAGUAAGACCAGUCAUGAAAUCCAUGUAGAUGUGUGGAGUGGGGACGUUCUCAUUCAAUUUCUCAUACUCAAUAACACAGGUCGCCAAACAACCCUGGCCCUUUGGUGUAAGAGAAAAAAUGGGCUUAAACACCUUGUAAGACUUCAUCACAUCUCCUUCCAGGCCAACAAGAACUAUUUUCUUGUUCACUUCAUCCAACUCCACCUGCUCUUUGAAGAUCUCAGCUUUCCCAUCUGGAGUAGUGUAAUUCCAGAUCUUGACAGAGCCUCCAGUUUCCCAGUCACCUUCAUGCACUUGAACUGCUUGUAUAUUGGAAGGAGUAUGAUUAGGAAUUUGGUGGGCUUGUUUCGCCAACACAUUGAAGAAUUGCUCAGGAGUUGCCUUCAGUAUUAAGACGGUCUCCAGCUUCCCCUUCAGAGACAUGGUUGUUUUUCUAGUAUCUGUAAAGAGUAUGACUUUAAUUUGAUGUAGAGGCAAUGCAAGUGAGCCGCUAUAUAUCACA
rnacentral:misc_RNA from 1 species